rnacentral:rRNA from 1 species
GAUGAACGCUGGCGGCGUGCCUAAUACAUGCAAGUCGAGCGAACAGACGAGGAGCUUGCUCCUCUGACGUUAGCGGCGGACGGGUGAGUAACACGUGGAUAACCUACCUAUAAGACUGGGAUAACUUCGGGAAACCGGAGAUAAUACCGGAUAAUAUAUUGAACCGCAUGGUUCAAUAGUGAAAGACGGUUUUGCUGUCACUUAUAGAUGGUUCCGCGCCGCAUUAGCUAGUUGGUAAGGUAACGGCUUACCAAGGCAACGAUGCGUAGCCGACCUGAGAGGGUGAUCGGCCACACUGGAACUGAGACACGGUCCAGACUCCUACGGGAGGCAGCAGUAGGGAAUCUUCCGCAAUGGGCGAAAGCCUGACGGAGCAACGCCGCGUGAGUGAUGAAGGUCUUCGGAUCGUAAAACUCUGUUAUUAGGGAAGAACAAAUGUGUAAGUAACUAUGCACGUCUUGACGGUACCUAAUCAGAAAGCCACGGCUAACUACGUG